AUCUGUGAUGUGUUGAGAUUUUACUUUUAUUUAGAAAAUGUUCUUCAGAAUUAUGAACACUUUGUUUAUGUUCAUGAUGUAAAGAAGACUCUUCCAUGCUUCCCCUUGAAUGUUGGCUUCUCAUUUUAUGAGGUCAGAUAUUGUUGCUGUUUUGGGCACUUUUCUGAGGUUUUGUUUAGUGCAUAGGAUAAAUUUGUCUCUGGUUUUUUGGCUGAUUAUAAAAGAAAAUCUGAAUCAGUUCAUACUGCACAGCCUUUUAGCAGAACGUAAGCCAGAGUUUUACCCGCCCGAUGGCCAGCUUCGUCGUCGGGUUUGGGAGGCUGGCUGUAAACUGAGAGGAAGCUGACCUAUCCAGCCUCGAGUAUGCAGGUCAAGUGGCCUGCUGAUGGUGCGCCUUUGAAUGGAACCCCAGUUGCAUCAGCUGGCUUAAGGUUGGUUUAUAGUACAUAAUUUGAUCCUGGUUUGUUUGUUUGUUGAUAUUUUAGCAUUUUCUCUGCAAAAUAUUGACAAAAGAUUUGAUAUGGAUGAAGUUUUGUCUUGUUUUUGUUA